rnacentral:rRNA from 1 species
UGCCAGCAGCCGCGGUAAUACGAAUGGUGCAAGCGUUGUUCGGAAUCACUGGGCAUAAAGGGCAUGUAGGCGGCGGCGUAAGUCAGAUGUGAAAUCCCCCAGCUCAACCGGGGAACUGCAUCUGAUACUGCGUUGCUAGAGUACGGGAGGGGAAAGCGGAAUUCCUGGUGGAGCGGUGAAAUGCGUAGAUAUCAGGAGGAACGCCGGAGGCGAAAGCGGCUUUCUGGCCCGUUACUGACGCUGAGGUGCGAAAGCUAGGGGAGCAAACAGGAUUAGAUA